AUGAACGCUAGCGGCAGGCUUAACACAUGCAAGUCGAGGGGUAUAGUUCUUCGGAAUUAGAGACCGGCGCACGGGUGCGUAACGCGUAUGCAAUCUACCUUUCACAAAGGGAUAGCCCAGAGAAAUUUGGAUUAAUACCUUAUAGUAAUACGACUUGGCAUCAAGAUGUAUUUAAAGAUUUAUCGGUGAAAGAUGAGCAUGCGUCCCAUUAGCUAGUUGGUAAGGUAACGGCUUACCAAGGCAACGAUGGGUAGGGGUCCUGAGAGGGAGAUCCCCCACACUGGUACUGAGACACGGACCAGACUCCUACGGGAGGCAGCAGUGAGGAAUAUUGGACAAUGGGCGCAAGCCUGAUCCAGCCAUGCCGCGUGCAGGAUGACGGUCCUAUGGAUUGUAAACUGCUUUUAUACAGGAAGAAACAGUUCUACGUGUAGAACCUUGACGGUACUGUAAGAAUAAGGAUCGGCUAACUCCGU
rnacentral:rRNA from 1 species